GGUUGGAGAGAUAGCUCAGUGGUUAAGAGCACUGACUGCUCUUUCAGAGGUCCUGAGUUCAAAUCCCAGCAACCA
rnacentral:tRNA from 1 species